rnacentral:rRNA from 1 species
UGUUUGUUGAAGGCUUUUUAUAACAAAUAAUUUCUGCCCGGUGAUAUGUUAAACGGCUGCGAUAUUUUGAUCGUACAAAGGUAGCAUAAUAAUUUGCCUUUUAAAUGGAGGCUUGUAUGAAGGAAAAAAUGAAAUCUUAUCUGUUUCUUUUCUUUGUUUAAAAUUUGUUGUUUUUGUGAAGAAACUAAAAAUGUUAAAAAAAGACAAGAAGACCCCAUCAAGCUUUUAUUUUUUUUUUGUUUUAAAAGUGUUUGUGUAAGUAUGUAUUUAAAAAAAUAAAAAAUUUAGUUGGGGUGAUUAAAAAGGAUGUAUUUAUCCUCUUUUAAUAAAUAAAAUUUUAAAUUUAUAAUUGAACCAGAAGUUUUUGGUUAAAAGAAAAAGUUACUGUGGGGAUAACAGCGUAAUUUUUUUGGUGAGUUCAUAUUAAUAAAAAAGUUUGCGACCUCGAUGUUGACUUGUUGUUUCCUUUUUUGGUGCAGUAGUUGAAAGGGUCAUUCUGUUCGACUGUUAAAACAAC